rnacentral:rRNA from 1 species
UGGGGAAUUUUGGACAAUGGGCGAAAGCCUGAUCCAGCAAUGCCGCGUGCAGGAUGAAGGCCUUCGGGUUGUAAACUGCUUUUGUACGGAACGAAAAAGCUCCUUCUAAUACAGGGGGCCCAUGACGGUACCGUAAGAAUAAGCACCGGCUAACUACGUGCCAGCAGCCGCGGUAAUACGUAGGGUGCGAGCGUUAAUCGGAAUUACUGGGCGUAAAGCGUGCGCAGGCGGUUAUGUAAGACAGAUGUGAAAUCCCCGGGCUCAACCUGGGAACUGCAUUUGUGACUGCAUGGCUAGAGUACGGUAGAGGGGGAUGGAAUUCCGCGUGUAGCAGUGAAAUGCGUAGAUAUGCGGAGGAACACCGAUGGCGAAGGCAAUCCCCUGGACCUGUACUGACGCUCAUGCACGAAAGCGUGGGGAGCAAACAGGAUUAGAUACCCU